rnacentral:rRNA from 1 species
UACGUAGGGGCGAGCGUUAUCCGGAAUCAUUGGGCGUAAAGAGUGCGUAGGUGGUUAUCUAAGCGUGGGGUGAAAGGCAAUAGCUUAACUAUUGUAAGCCCCGCGAACUGGGUGACUUGAGUGCAGGAGAGGAAAGCGGAAUUCCUGGUGUAGCGGUGAAAUGCGUAGAUAUUAGGAGGAACACCAGUGGCGAAGGCGGCUUUCUGGACUGUAACUGACACUGAGGCACGAAAGCGUGGGGAGCAAAACAGGAUUAGAUACCCUGGUAGUCCCU